rnacentral:rRNA from 1 species
UACGUAGGGCGCAAGCGUUAAUCGGAAUUACUGGGCGUAAAGCGUGCGCAGGCGGUUUUGUAAGUCUGUCGUGAAAUCCCCGGGCUCAACCUGGGAAUUGCGAUGGAGACUGCAAGGCUAGAAUCUGGCAGAGGGGGGUAGAAUUCCACGUGUGAGCAGUGAAAUGCGUAGAGAUGUGGAGGAACACCGAUGGCGAAGGCAGCCCCCUGGGUCAAGAUUGACGCUCAUGCACGAAAGCGUGGGGAGCAAACAGG